AUUGAACGCUAGCGGGAUGCUUUACACAUGCAAGUCGAACGGCAGCGCGGACUUCGGUCUGGCGGCGAGUGGCUAACGGGUGAGUAAUGUAUCGGAACGUGCCCAGUAGCGGGGGAUAACUACGCGAAAGCGUAGCUAAUACCGCAUACGCCCUACGGGGGAAAGCAGGGGAUCGUAAGACCUUGCACUAUUGGAGCGGCCGAUAUCGGAUUAGCUAGUUGGUGAGGUAACGGCUCACCAAGGCGACGAUCCGUAGCUGGUUUGAGAGGACGACCAGCCACACUGGGACUGAGACACGGCCCAGACUCCUACGGGAGGCAGCAGUGGGGAAUUUUGGACAAUGGGGGCAGCCCUGAUCCAGCCAUCCCGCGUGUGCGAUGAAGGCCUUCGGGUUGUAAAGCACUUUUGGCAGGAAAGAAACGUCGCGGGCUAAUACCCCGUGGAACUGACGGUACCUGCAGAAUAAGCACCGGCUAACUACGUG
rnacentral:rRNA from 1 species